GGCUCCGUUGUGUAGUGGCCUAGCACGCCGCCCUCUCAAGGCGGUAACGCCGGUUCGAAUCCGGUCGGAGCUA
rnacentral:tRNA from 1 species